CGUUCUCUCCGGCUAUAAAGGGCCCCGGGACUCCGUAGCUCGCCUCAGCUUCCUCCGACUCCGCCUUCGCCGCCUUCCUUCCAACUAGAGCUCCAGUUCCCGCUCAGGUUCCAAUCGACCCACUCGGGCUCGGCUACUCGGGCUGCAGCAGAAGAUGGCGGCUCCGGUGGCUCGGGGCGAGUGCUCCGAGGCGGCGCUGGCUGCAGCCCUGGCGGAUGUGCCGGAACUAGCCCGACUUCUGGAGCUCGACCCGUACCUGAAGCCCUUCGCCCUGGAUUUCCAGCACAGGUAUAAGAAGUUUAAUGAGACUUUGAACAACAUCGGAGAGAACGAAGGUGGUAUUGAUAAGUUUUCCAGAGGUUAUGAAUCGUUUGGUGUCCACAGAUGUGCGGAUGGUGGUUUGUACUGCAAAGAAUGGGCCCCAGGAGCAGAAGGAGUUUUUCUCACUGGAGACUUCAAUGAUUGGAAUCCAUUUUCAUAUCCAUAUAAGAAACUGGAUUAUGGAAAGUGGGAGCUUUAUAUCCCACCAAAGCAGAAUAAAUCUCAACUUGUACCUCAUGGAUCCAAAUUAAAGGUAGUUAUUAGGAGUAAAAGUGGAGAGAUCUUGUAUCGUAUUUCACCAUGGGCGAAGUAUGUGACUCGUGAAGGUGAAAAUGUGAAUUACGAUUGGACACACUGGGAUCCAGAACACCCAUAUAAAUUUAAGCAUUCCAGACCAAAGAAGCCAAGAGGUGUAAGAAUUUAUGAAUCUCAUGUGGGAAUUUCUUCCUAUGAAGGAAAAAUAGCUUCUUAUAAACAUUUUACAUACAAUGUACUACCAAGAAUCAAAGACCUUGGAUACAACUGCAUUCAGAUGAUGGCAAUCAUGGAGCAUGCUUACUACGCCAGUUUUGGUUACCAGAUCACAAGCUUCUUUGCAGCUUCAAGCCGUUAUGGAACGCCUGAAGAGCUGAAAGAACUGGUUGACACAGCUCACUCAAUGGGUAUUACAGUCCUCUUAGAUGUGGUGCAUAGCCAUGCUUCAAAAAAUUCAGAAGAUGGAUUGAAUAUGUUUGAUGGAACAGAUUCCUGUUAUUUUCAUUCUGGACCUAGAGGGAAUCAUGAUCUUUGGGACAGUCGAUUGUUUAUCUACUCCAGCUGGGAAGUUUUAAGAUUCCUUCUGUCAAACAUAAGAUGGUGGUUAGAAGAAUAUGGCUUUGAUGGAUUUCGUUUUGAUGGCGUUACAUCCAUGCUCUAUCAUCACCAUGGAAUGGGUCAAGCUUUUUCAGGUGAUUACCAUGAAUAUUUUGGACUUCAAGUUGAUGAAGAUGCCUUGAUUUAUCUCAUGUUGGCAAAUCAUUUGGUUCACACAUUGUAUCCCGAUUCUAUAACAGUAGCUGAGGAUGUGUCAGGAAUGCCAGCUCUCUGUUCUCCGAUUUCCCAGGGAGGAGUCGGCUUUGACUAUCGAUUAGCUAUGGCAAUUCCAGAUAAAUGGAUCCAGCUACUUAAAGAGUUUAGAGAUGAAGAUUGGAAUAUGGGCAAUAUUGUAUACACACUCACAAACAGACGCUACCUUGAAAAAUGCAUUGCUUAUGCAGAGAGCCAUGAUCAGGCACUAGUUGGGGAUAAGACACUGGCAUUUUGGUUGAUGGAUGCUGAAAUGUAUACCAACAUGAGUGUUCUGACCCCGUUUACUCCAGUUAUUGAUCGUGGAAUACAGCUUCAUAAAAUGAUUCGACUCAUUACUCAUGCUCUCGGUGGAGAAGGCUAUCUCAAUUUCAUGGGUAAUGAAUUUGGCCAUCCUGAAUGGUUAGACUUCCCAAGAAAAGGAAAUAAUGAGAGCUACCAUUAUGCCAGAAGGCAGUUUCAUUUAACUGAUGAUGACCUCCUUCGCUAUAAGUUCCUAAAUAACUUUGACAGGGAUAUGAAUAAAUUGGAAGAAAGAUGUGGUUGGCUUUCAGCUCCACAGGCCUAUGUGAGUGAAAAGCACGAAGGCAAUAAGAUCAUCGCUUUUGAGAGAGCAGGCCUUGUUUUUAUUUUCAACUUUCAUCCAAGCAAGAGCUACACUGAUUACCGAGUUGGAACAACAUUGCCAGGAAAAUUCAGAAUUGUGCUAGAUACAGAUGCAGCAGAGUAUGGAGGGCACCAGAGACUGGACCAUAGUACCGAGUUUUUCUCUCAACCUUUUAAACAUAAUGAACGUCCCUGUUCUCUUUUGUUGCAUCCUGACUUAGGCACAGAUCAGUGCCCUACUUUUUGCUGAAGAGAACUAGUGAGGUCGAAAAUUGAACCUGCACUGUGACUUUGCAACCUGUAGCCUCGAACGUUCAGUCGGACAUUUGGACUCAUCAGUCCUGAGGACAUAAGAGAUGAAAGAUUAUUCCAGGCAAUUUCCUGGUGAGGAAACAAGCAUGUUUACUCAGAAGACUUUAACUUCCUGAAGACAAUGGAGGAAAACAGUAGCAACAACCAGGACAAAAGCCCCGUAACAUUUAUGCAGGGUUAUUGUCUAUGCUGAAAUAUGUUGUUUUCUGACCUGAAUGGAAAAAAUUGAAUUUGUGUGGAUUUUCUACAAUAUAAAUUUGAGGCAUAGGAAUAAUUUCAUUACUUUUGAACCUAAGUCACUUUCACACUUAAUUCUUCAUAAAAAUGUUUCCCGGCAUAUGAAAAGAAUUAGAAUUUCUUAUGUUUGGACUGUCUUACAGUAAAGAGGUGGAAAAUAGAAUUAACUGCAAC